rnacentral:rRNA from 1 species
AUGAAACUCAAAGGAAUUGACGGGGACCCGCACAAGCGGUGGAGCAUGUGGUUUAAUUCGAAGCGACGCGAAGAACCUUACCCGGCCUUGACAUCCCCCUGACAGUAUCUGUAAUGGAUAUUACCUUCGGGACAGGGGAGACAGGUGGUGCAUGGUUGUCGUCAGCUCGUGUCGUGAGAUGUUGGGUUAAGUCCCGCAACGAGCGCAACCCUUGCCCCCAGUAGCCAGCAUGUAAAGCUGGGCACUCUGGGGGGACAGCCGGGGAUAACCCGGAGGAAGGCGGGGAUGACGUCAAACCAUCAUGCCCCUUAUGGCCGGGGCUACACACGUGCUACAAUGGCGUAAACAGAGGGAGGCGAGACAGCGAUGUUAAGCGAACCCCAAAAAUAACGUCCCAGUUCGGAUUGCAGCCUGCAACUCGGCUGCAUGAAGCUGGAAUCGCUAGUAAUCGCGGAUCAGAAUGCCGCGGUGAAUACGUUCCCGGGUCUUGUACACACCGCCCGUCACACCAUGGGAGUCGGGAACGCCC